UACGUAGGGUGCAAGCGUUGUCCGGAAUUAUUGGGCGUAAAGAGCUCGUAGGCGGUUUGUCGCGUCGGCUGUGAAAACUCGGGGCUCAACCCCGAGCCUGCAGUCGAUACGGGCAAACUAGAGUGUGGUAGGGGAGACUGGAAUUCCUGGUGUAGCGGUGAAAUGCGCAGAUAUCAGGAGGAACACCGGCGGCGAAGGCAGCCCCCUGGGCUAACACUGACGCUCAUGCACGAAAGCGUGGGGAGCAAACAGG
rnacentral:rRNA from 1 species